UUUGUAGGUGUUCACUACGGUUCCUGCACCCCCAUGAAGGAGACACCCAUCACCACCAAACUACAACCAAAGUGAUUCAAGUUAAAGCAAGUGGUUUGCGUUUAUAAGUGAUCUGGAAUAAACUAUUGUUUUGAAGGAAAAAAACUGUGCGUGUCUACAAAUUCAACAAAUUUACAAUUAUUGUGUUGGUGCUGCAAUGGAGUGAUUAUGUUAAAUGUAUAAUAAAGGGCCUUUGGUUUCA